CCCUUAGAUGUCCUGGGCCGCACGCGCGCUACACUGACGGAGCCAGCGAGCUUACCCCUUUGCCGAAAGGCAUGGGAAAUCUUUUGAAUCUCCGUCGUGCUGGGGAUAGAUCAUUGCAAUUAUUGAUCUUGAACGAGGAAUUCCUAGUAAGCGCAAGUCAUCAACUUGCGUUGAUUACGUCCCUGCCCUUUGUACACACCGCCCGUCGCACCUACCGAUUGAAUGGUUCGGUGAAGAUCUCGGACUUCGAUAUUUAUUCUUUAUUGAGUUUAUAUUGUGGGAAGUUAUCUAAACCUCAUCAUUUAGAGGAAGGUGAAGUCGUAACA
rnacentral:rRNA from 1 species